rnacentral:rRNA from 1 species
UACGUAGGAUCCAAGCGUUGUCCGGAUUUACUGGGUGUAAAGGGCGCGUAGGCGGACUGCCGCGUCCGGGGUGAAAUCCUCCGGCUCAACCGGGGAAGGGCCUCGGAUACGGGCGGUCUGGAGUGGGGUAGGGGCGUGCGGAACUGUGGGUGGAGCGGUGAAAUGCGUUGAGAUCCACAGGAACUCCGGUGGCGAAGGCGGCACGCUGGACCCUUUCUGACGCUGAGGCGCGAAAGCCAGGGGAGCGAACGGG